UACGUAGGUGGCAAGCGUUGUCCGGAAUUAUUGGGCGUAAAGCGCGCGCAGGCGGUCCUUUAAGUCUGAUGUGAAAGCCCUGGGCUCAACCCAGGAAGUGCGUCAGAUACUGGUGGACUGGAGUGGCGGAGAGGAUGGCGGAAUUCCCGGUGUAGAGGUGAAAUUCGUAGAUAUUCGGAAGAACACCAGUGGCGAAGGCGACUUACUGGACACAUAUUGACGCUGAGGUGCGAAAGCGUGGGGAGCAAACAGG
rnacentral:rRNA from 1 species